UGGGUGUUUUUAGCAAAAUGGAACCACGUCGAUCCAUCUCGAACUCGAACGUGAAACAUUUUUGCGGUGACAAUACUGCAGGGGAAGCCUUGUGGGAAGAUAACUCGAUGCCCUAAAUUU
rnacentral:rRNA from 1 species